rnacentral:rRNA from 1 species
GGAUUAGAUACCCUGGUAGUCCAUGCCGUAAACGAUGAAGACUGGCUGUUGGGCACCUACGGGUGUUUAGUAGCGAAGCUAACGCGUUAAGUCUUCCGCCUGGGGAGUACGGCCGCAAGGUUAAAACUCAAAGGAAUUGACGGGGGCCCGCACAAGCGGUGGAACAUGUGGUUUAAUUCGACGCAACGCGAAGAACCUUACCUACCCUUGACAUCCUCGGAAUCUGCUAGAGAUAGCGGAGUGCCUUCGGGAGCCGAGAGACAGGUGCUGCAUGGCUGUCGUCAGCUCGUGCCG